rnacentral:rRNA from 1 species
CCUACGGGUGGCUGCAGUGGGGAAUAUUGGGCAAUGGGCGCAAGCCUGACCCAGCAACGCCGCGUGAAGGAAGAAGGCUCUCUGGUUGUAAACUUCUUUUAAUAGGGAAGAGCAGAAGACGGUACCUCUUCAAUAAGCCACGGCUAACUACGUGCCAGCAGCCGCGGUAAUACGUAGGUGGCAAGCGUUGUCCGGAUUUACUGGGUGUAAAGGGCGUGUAGCCGGGCUGACAAGUCAGAUGUGAAAUCCCGGGGCUCAACCACGGAACUGCAUUUGAAACUGUCGGUCUUGAGUAUCGGAGAGGCAGGCGGAAUGCCUAGUGUAGCGGUGAAAUGCGUAGAUAUUAGGAGGAACACCAGUGGCGAAGGCGGCCUGCUGGACGACAACUGACGGUGAGGCGCGAAAGCGUGGGGAGCGAACAGGAUUAGAUACCCGUGUAGUC